GUGAGGGAGGCGUGGUUUGUGACAAUGUCACUGAGAGCUUAGACCCUACAGCCCCAGAGUCCUCGUCUGUCCUUUCCCCUUCCUGCCUGCCCCCUCCCUCCUUGUAGCUCCUCCCCAGACCCAGGUCCAGAAGGCAAUUCUCAUGGUUUCCUAGAAAGAGUGAAUAAGAGGGCUCAAUUAAAAAAAAAAAAAGAAACCCAAAAGAGUCACCCUUUUAACCAUUCCAUUGCCCUGAAAACCUGAGGCACAAAUUAUCUGAUAACCCAUGGUCUCCUCCUUGGCUAUACUUCGAAAUCUCCAGUAACGAUGCUUGGGUUCCAAUCUCAGAGUCUCAUUUAAUUGGUUAGGAGUGUGUCCUAGGCUCUGGAUUUUUUUUUCUUGAUCAGAUCCAUCACAUUCAAUGGGCUCUGGGUUAUUAAAAGCUCCCCAGGUGAUUCCACUGUGCAGCCGGGACUGAGAAACUGGCUUCACCUGGUCGGCACCUGCUCCUCCUUCAGCCACGCUUGUCUCCUGAUGCUUUCCCAUCCCCCGGCUCCUCUCCACACACCCUCCAUCACAGGCCCAUCACACUAGGCUGCACACACAGAGCAGCCUCCAGUUCUCACCUUUGUAUCCUUAGCACCUAGCUCAGGAGACUAAAAUCCAUGUUAAGAAAGCAAGUGAAAGCUGCCCUAGCCUUCCCAUAAGCUGUCUCCUAAGGGUGUCUCAUACGAGCCUCAGCCACCUAUGGCAUAUGGCAUCGAUUCUGUUCUCUUCCUCAGGAUCCCCACAGGAUUCCACUGGAAACAGACUCCCCUCUCCCCACACUGCCAACCAGCACGGAACCCUUGCCACGUUUCUUUGCAUUAGCCCAGGCAGCUAAGACAUGUUUUCCUGGCCCUCUGCUCCCCUCACCAUUCCCAGUUAACAGCUGGGUAAAGAAGUCCUUGGACUUGCUGUGGAGCCCUCCCUGCCUUCUAGGGAGCCUGCGUUGGGAGGCUGGGUGCUUGGAGAGAAUUUGUGAGGAAGGAAUAGGAUGUGGGAGAGGAUAGGGGCUCUAGGUUUGGAGAAGACAAAAAAGGCAGCGAGUGAAGUGUGGGAGCCUCAGGAGGCUGGCCUGGGUCUCUUAGCUCCUCCUAGCCGUGGUUCCUCAUCUGAAGACGGGCGUGAACCAGUUAACAGGUUCAAUGGCCAUUUAGGUGACAUUCCCAUGCUCAAAUGCUGGAAUCAUAAGGCGUGAACUGCAAGGAUUUAGAGACAGGUAAAUGGUCAAGGAAAUAGACAAAAUGGGGGAAAAAGGGAGGUCCCCAGCUUCCCAGUUUUUGUUUUAGGACUUGAAGAAGCUUAGGUCUCCAGCCUCCAGAGCAAGUCUAGGGUUUUGAGCCCAGAAAUCUGUGUUUGGAGGAAACCUCGAGCCAGUGACUGCCUACCUGUAGCAAGAGACAAAGGCAAAGUGUUACAGCCCUGGGGGACAGCCAUGGCGAAUCUCCUCCCAGACCCUGACGACACAGAAACUGGCAGAGCCUGUCAGGAAGUGGAAGUCGGCACUGAUUUAUACCUCUCACUCGAUUCAGCUGAUUAAAUCCCCCUUGGCGUCUCCUCCAGAGCUGCCUUUUUUACUCUCCCGGGUUGUCUCUGGCCCAAGAGCUGGAGGAGUAUUGCCUAUAAAUAAGCAGCGCCAGGAGGAGAGGAGCCAAGCACGCCCUCCUCCCACCCACCUGCCGCACGGGCCUCCUGGUCUGGCUUCUCUGGGUGGGUGGGGCGAUGGAGGCCUUGCUUCUAUUCUGAGCUCACCUCUGCUGCUGUGACCUUGGGGAACAGAGGGAGCAGCUCUUGCCUUGGCUUCCCCUUCCUGGGGCCCCGUGGGAGCCUCCUAGCCCGUGAGGUUUAUACUUUGAGCAGAGCUCUUGGCCUUCCGUUCCUGCAGUUGCAGUCUAAAAUGGAGUCUGCCAUGCAGAGGCCUAGAAACUGGAAGAGCCCCUCAAAGCCACACAUUUCCCCUCCCUGAAGUACAAAUAAGGUUUAGAGAUGCUCGGGACUUCCCACGGCCACACAGCUGGUUAGCAGCCAGAGGACUAGAACACAGCUCUCCUUCACCCACAAAUGCCCCCUACACAGGUUCUGGACUGCAAAUGCUCCUUGAAUCCUGCAGGUCAACCAAUCAUCACUGCAGGCAAGGUGAACAGAUAAAAACAACGAAAACCCGGAAGUCCAGAAGCAGCGUGGGCACUGGAGGAAAGGCAAUCACGUCACCACCCUUCCGUGGGCCUCAUCUCCUUAUGUAUACAGUGCAUGUGACACCUGGACCCUCAAGGCCUGAGUUUUCAGCAAUGAGACUGCUGUGAGUUUGAGUUCUCCUUGUUCCAACAUCCCAGCCUACCAUUCUCAUGGUAUGUAAACCAGUGCUGAUAAUAUAGUUGAAGCUGACGCAAACUCGGAAAGUAAAUUUACUUUUUCUUUUUUUAAUUUUUUUUGAGACAGGGUAGAGAGUCUUGCUAUGUUGCCCAGGCUUGUCUCAAACUUCUGGGGUCAUGUAAUCCUCCCAGCUGAGCCUCCUGAGUCAUUGGGAUGACAGGCAUGAGCCACCACACCAGGCUUGAAGGAACACAGCUGUGGUGUCCCCAAGCCUCUGGGAACUGCCUGAAGCCUGGGAAUCAGAUGAAAACCAACACGCUGGGCUCCACGGGCACCCCCGGAAGCGGCCCUCCUCUUGUUCCUUGUGCGCUGUGGAUUGAAACUCAGAAGCAAAGAGCCUCUCAGGAGGGGCAGAGCAAGGCAGGGCUUUGGGUUUGGAAUGGCAGAGUUUGAAAUGGCAGAGAACUGGUGCCUCCUGAGCACCAUCCUCUGGGCAGCUGCAACACCCUGGAACUGCGGCUGCCACUCAUUCUUUACAGACCUCAGUGGUUAUCGGGGGAGUUUUACUCCAAAUUGCAUUUGGAGCAGCAGAAAGAUGACUUGUUCCAAAGGAAGGCCUUACUAAGAAACGAUGAGAGGCUGUGGAAUGACUUUUGGAAGUGGGGGGUGCAGGGGCCCACGUGAACGGACAGUGGUCUGACGUCAGCCCAGGAAGAGCUGUCGGUUUCUGUGGGCCACUAUGCUUCAUUGUCAAUAGGGAAAGGGCUUGAGCUGCCCUGGGAGACUCAAGGAAGACUUCAUUUCUACUCAAGGAAGGAAUUCCUGGAAGAAACCAGAAUGGGACAAAUACUUGAAGGAGUGAAGGAAAUAAAUGACAGAAAAGUUUCUGUUUAA